AACGAACGCUGGCGGCAUGCCUAACACAUGCAAGUCGAACGAAGUCUUCGGACUUAGUGGCGCACGGGUGCGUAACGCGUGGGAAUCUGCCCUUGGGUGCGGAAUAACUUCUCGAAAGGGAUGCUAAUACCGCAUAAUGUCGUAAGACCAAAGAUUUAUCGCCCAAGGAUGAGCCCGCGUAAGAUUAGCUAGUUGGUGGGGUAAAAGCCUACCAAGGCGACGAUCUUUAGCUGGUCUGAGAGGAUGAUCAGCCACACUGGGACUGAGACACGGCCCAGACUCCUACGGGAGGCAGCAGUGGGGAAUAUUGGACAAUGGGCGAAAGCCUGAUCCAGCAAUGCCGCGUGAGUGAUGAAGGCCCUAGGGUUGUAAAGCUCUUUACCAGGGAUGAUAAUGACAGUACCUGGAGAAUAAGCUCCGGCUAACUCCGUGCCAGCAGCCGCGGUAA
rnacentral:rRNA from 1 species